UAUGUUGUUUUCUUAACUGUCCAAGGGCACAUCCUUUUUUAUGAACUUGGAAUUCCAAAAACUACAAAGACUGCAUUAGGCUGCCCAUCUGCAAAAUUGAUAGCUGGUUGGACAUCCAUUGCAACAAGGAUGUUUAUUUGUUCCAGAAAAAAAUUGAAACCAGUAGAGCUUUUUCGACCACAAAUUGAAUGAAAAACAGAAUUGACUUGCUUUUCUAUCAUUAUUAUUGAAAUUCAUCCUCCCUUUGAUUGUUUCUUUGGACGUCCAAAUGGGCCUUAAAAUCAGCACUGUGAAACAGAUGAAUGUUGACAGAAAAUGGAUGGUUUGACUAUAUUCAUGUCUCCCACAUUAUUACUUGUUCCUUUUCAGUUCUGAAAGAUGCAUACAAUUCUUAUAGUACAUGGAACCAUUCUGUUGUUACUUCUCCAUUGUCAAAUGCCGCAAAACCAAAACCUUUUUUCAGAGCAUUAGGCAAGAUUUUGCUUGAGAUUAUUUUUAAAUGGUUGCAGUGUUGCCUAUAGAUUCUACGUGUAGUAGGUUUUGGUUUUGAGCAUUUGGUGAAGAUUAUGCAUUACAUGUUGUUUCUGGUUCUUCAGGGUGCGUUUGGAUGCAAUUUUAAAUUGGAUUGCAAUUCUGUUGUGUAAUAAAGUGGAGAUAAAUAGAUUGUAGUUAGUUUUCCUAUCGAGGGUUGAGCUCCUGAUUGCAGUCCCGUUCCUCUCAAGUUGGACUCAAAUGAAACAUGACUGCAAGUUGAGGGCUUCUUUCCCCUUAUGAAUACUAGAAAACAUCAUUAGUUUUUCUCAUUUCUUCUUGAUUAAACUAAAUAUUUGUUGUAAUUCAAUUCACUUGAUUUUUUAAAUUUUUUUAGUUGAUUCUGGAUAAAGGUUUUGGUUUUCGAAGUUUUCGUGUCGUUGUUCCUGCAUAUUGUAUUUGAUUAAUUCCACCUCGUUAUGACUCGAUUGCCUUGAUGGGUUUUGGUUUUGCGGCAUUUGGCAUGGAUUCUCCUUGGUGAAUUUUGAUUCUAUUGUGUAUAUUUUUUUGUUCAUAAAUAGUCUGGAGUAUCUCCUCAUUCAUUGUGAGUUUGAUUCAGCAAUAUGAGCUGGUUCUUGUGGCUCUCAAUUGGUAAGAGAAGGAAACUUCUUUGGCGGCCCACCAUGUGGGCUGUUGUGUUGUCGAUUUGGAAGGAACAAAAUCUUAGGACCUUCAAUAACAGAUCUGAUAAAAGAGACACCGUUUUUCUUAGGGCCAAAGGAGAGUCAUUUCUAGGGCGUUGGCACUGAACCUCUUUAUGGGUGAUGAUAGGGUAGAUCCUUCACGGGACUUGGUAAAUGCGUUGUAAAUUCUAGGUAUAGUGAGGUUGAGGGAUGGCCCCUCACCAUCCUUCUCUUUGCUGUGUGCUUCUCUAUGGUUGUAUCUUUUGCUUAUUUUAAUAAAUUUUCUAUGUUACUUUUCAAAAAAAAGAAAGAAAGAAAGAAAGAAAGAAAGAAAGAAUCUUUUGGAUUCUUAUAUUGUCGUCUUGAAUCUGCAAUUGGUUUUUAUUUUUGGUGUGUUUUGUUGAGAUUCUUAGUUGGGUUUCGUUUAGUGAUGUCUUUUAUGCUGCUUUUGAUUCUUGAUUCACUUUGUAGUUAUUCUGUUAUGGGUAUUUGAUUCCUUCCACCUAACCUAGAUUUGGUCAUAUUGAUGGUUAUGGUUAUUAUUUGGAUUUGGUGUGUUUUUAAACUGGUUUUGAUUCUUUUGCAGAAUUUUGUAAUGUUUUGUGUUGAUUUAGCAAAUGGGUUUGGGGUUCUUGUGGUGUUCCAUGUUGAUUCUGCAAAUGGAUUUUUUUUUUUUUUUUUUAAAUAAAUUAUUUUAUGAUUUUAUAAACGUGUAUAUGAUAUCAUUCUCCGUCCAUUGGUUUUCACUGCCUAAGGUUUGGUUUGGGCUGAUUUUUGGUCCCAAGGGCUAAUGUCAAUAAAUGUACCUGGUGGAUGGGUAGAUAUGAUGUAUGCAUAGAAGUCUUUCUUUGUGUCCCCUUAACACUACUUGAGGAAUUUGGCAUGUAACCCAAUUUCUAUUUGUUCCUUGCUGCAGUACCUUGUUUUGGCAUGCAACCCUUUGGCACUUAGCAAACUAGAUUUCUGAAAAGACAAAUACUAGUAAAGACUUGCAGUUAAUCUUUUGUUCAGCUAAGAAAACUGAAAGGGCAUUUAUUCAUCAAUUGUUAGGGACUGCCAGUUCCAGCACUAGUUAUCUACUGUGGGGCCAACUGAUUUUCGUAUGUUCCACAUCCUCAUCUGCAUGUGAAGAUGUACAUAGCUGUCCCGCAUCUAUUUCAGAGCUGGUCAGCGAGUGCAUGGGGAGCCUAUUGGAAGAUGUCUGUGGCAUGGAGUCUUCUUUGCUGUCAUUUGGGGCAUAUGGAAUGAGAAAAAUAAGAGAAAUUUUCAAGGGAAACAAUUCCCAGUCUGUGGCAUCCUUAGCAGAAUCAAUGGAGGCCUACAUUGGGCGACAGCCAUCCAGCACUUUGGAGGAUUCUCAAGGGGGAUGAUCAUGCAUAAUUGGGAGAAAUCUUCCUGAGCCUCUAAAUGCCUGUGGGCCAUGUGUCGGAUGACUUCAGUUUCAGGGCUGUGGUCUCAUUCAGGAAUUAGAGUCCUGUUUGUUACCGUUUUAUCUCAAAUUGGGGUUUCUAUAUAGUUUUCUUUGCUCUUGGAGCCUUGUAUGUAGCUGGCUAGGGUAGCAAAGCAUGUUGUCUUUUAUAUUUUCCUAUUCAAUAAAGGAUAGUCACCCAUGAAAAAAGCUAAACGCUCAAGAUUACCAGGUUUAGCAUGUUUAAACUUCAGCCACUAGGGUCGCCUGCCGAUUCUUGACUAAAUAUGUUGCUAACUAAUUGUGAUUUCCUGUUUGUUAGUGUUUGUUGCCAUUUCCUUUUUUAUUACUAAUUUGAUUAUUUUCUAUUCUUUUUCAUACAAAAUCUUGGAGUUUGCAACCCAAAAUCUAUGUUUGGGGGAUCAAUAGAAAUUCAAUGA